UUGAUUUUAAUCCUUGGACUCCAAACACACACGUCUUCUAUACACAAAAUACGUAAAGUAAAAAUGUGUAGAGCGAAUUUCAUUACGUUUACUUUAAUUUUCUGAAUUUAGUAACAGUAAACGACGCUUUUAAACUGGAACUAACACCAGCAAUGCCAGUGAUUCAUGCUGAUAAUGAUUUGAAAUUGACGUGUCGGAUAAAUGGUUGCCUGACAAAUGUGACCUUCAUGUGGAAAGCAGUUUUGGAUAAAUCUCUCGGCGGACAAGUCAAGGACGAACAGACGGUUACUUACCUGCUGUUCAGGAACAUCUCGACCAAACACAGCAAUACAGUUUUGUGCAGAGCUGCUUGCGGGAAAACACAAAUGUGUUCUCUCCUCCCAGGGACCCCAAAGUGGAGGUUUCUCCAUCCCUACAGGUGAUGGAAGGUCAAAAUGUCACCGUGCGCACCACUGUCAAAGGCUUUCCUCAUCCCUCCACCAUUCUGAGGAGAGAGAGGGAUGGAUUUGAGAUGCAGUCCCAGGAUGGAGUCUUUCACCUGCUUCACCUCACAUCUGAUGAUGAAGGAUCUUACACAGUUUGGUUCAUGAAUGAACUUGGUAAUGAGAGCCACACCUUCCAGUUGAGCAGAAAAACUGAGCAACACAAUGUCUCAGAGAUGCCAGAUCUGCCAACGGCCAUUUUGCCUGCUGCUGCAUCUGUGUCCCUGCUGACUGUCGCAGCUCUGCUUAUCCGAUACCUUAGAAAAUCCAGGAGUGACUCCAGUGACAUCUCAAUGAAUUAAACAGAGAUGACCCAUUACCACAACACAAUAAUUUUCUGCUGAAAGGAACCUUUAUCUGUGCAUUAUCUUUAAAAUAUCUUGUGGACUGGUAUGGAUAUAUGGAUGGCUUGGUUUUGUUUGUAUUGUAAACUUUGUGAAUAGCAGUGUCAUUUUCUUACACACCUAAGAUAGAUAUUUGAUGAACGAUGCGGUGGGGUGUAAAAGCAAUGUAUAUAUUGGUCACUUUACAUUGCAGUGUCAUAUUUUAUACUGUACGUUACAUUUUAAUGGUAUAGUUUAUUUACAUUAGUUACUACUUACUGAUACUAAUAAACAAAAUGUAUUAUAUUCUGUAUUAUGUUAGGUAAUUUGAGUAACUAGGUAAUUUUUUAUUUUUCAAUGUUAAAAUACUUAAAUUGUCCUGUAUAAAUAUGCAGAGACAACCACUUAUGGGGUUUAAAGGGAUAGUUCAUCCAAAAAUGAAAAUGCUUUCAUUAUUUACACACCCUCAUGCCAUCCCAGAUGUGUAUGACUUUCUCCGACUGAACACAAAUGAAGGUUUUCAGAAAAAUAUCUCAGCUCUGUUGGUCCAUACAAUGCAAGUGAGUGGUGAUAAGACUUUUGUAGCUCUAAAAAUCACAUAAAGGAAACAUAGAAGUAAUCCAUAAGACUCCAGUGGUUUAAUCCAUAUCUUCAGAAGUGAUAUAAUAGGCGUGGGUGAGAAACAGAUAAAAAUUUAAGUCCUUUUUUUUACUUAAAAAAGAACUUGUUUUCCUUUUUCCAGACAAUGAACUAUUCACUAAAACUUUUAAACAGCUACUAUACUGAACAUAUCUACAUAAAAUAAUGUAAAAAAACAGAUUAAUGUAAAAAAGUAAAACAUUGCCAUAUUUUGCAUGAAGUGAAGAAAACUCCAUUCCUCAAACUUUGUAGUAACACACACUUCGGUUAUUCCUCCAAAAAACAAUGCAACAAUAAUUUUUGAGUCUUGUACUAGACCUGUUAAAUAUGACAAACA